GGGUUGUGAGGUUAAGCGACUAAGCGUACACGGUGGAUGCCCUGGCAGUCAGAGGCGAUGAAGGGCGUACUAAUCUGCGAUAAGCGCCGGUAAGGUGAUAUGAACCGUUAUAACCGGCGAUACCCGAAUGGGGAAACCCAGUGUGAUUCGUCACACUAUCAUUAACUGAAUCCAUAGGUUAAUGAGGCGAACCGGGGGAACUGAAACAUCUAAGUACCCCGAGGAAAAGAAAUCAACCGAGAUUCCCCCAGUAGCGGCGAGCGAACGGGGAGGAGCCCAGAGCCUGAAUCAGCAUGUGUGUUAGUGGAAGCGUCUGGAAAGGCGCGCGAUACAGGGUGACAGCCCCGUACACAAAAGCGCAUGUGCUGUGAGCUCGAUGAGUAGGGCGGGACACGUGGUAUCCUGUCUGAAUAUGGGGGGACCAUCCUCCAAGGCUAAAUACUCCUGACUGACCGAUAGUGAACCAGUACCGUGAGGGAAAGGCGAAAAGAACCCCGGCGAGGGGAGUGAAAAAGAACCUGAAACCGUGUACGUACAAGCAGUGGGAGCCCCACCACCAAAGCAUUUGCUGUACCGCGUUGACGGAGCGAAGCGACGUCAAACCGAUAAAACAGCAGUGUAAAGUGAGCCGCAGGGCGCUUUGCGCGACAGCGCAAAGGCAGGCGGUUUCGCGUAGCGAAAGCGAAUGCUUUGGGGUGGGGUGACUGCGUACCUUUUGUAUAAUGGGUCAGCGACUUAUAUUCUGUAGCAAGGUUAACCGAAUAGGGGAGCCGGAGGGAAACCGAGUCUUAAUUGGGCGUUAAGUUGCAGGGUAUAGACCCGAAACCCGGUGAUCUAGCCAUGGGCAGGUUGAAGGUUGGGUAACACUAACUGGAGGACCGAACCGACUAAUGUUGAAAAAUUAGCGGAUGACCUGUGGCUGGGGGUGAAAGGCCAAUCAAACCGGGAGAUAGCUGGUUCUCCCCGAAAGCUAUUUAGGUAGCGCCUCGUGAAUUCAUCUCCGGGGGUAGAGCACUGUUUCGGCUAGGGGGCCAUCCCGGCUUACCAACCCGAUGCAAACUGCGAAUACCGGAGAAUGUUAUCACGGGAGACACACGGCGGGUGCUAACGUCCGUCGUGAAGAGGGAAACAACCCAGACCGCCAGCUAAGGUCCCAAAGUCAUGGUUAAGUGGGAAACGAUGUGGGAAGGCCCAGACAGCCAGGAUGUUGGCUUAGAAGCAGCCAUCAUUUAAAGAAAGCGUAAUAGCUCACUGGUCGAGUCGGCCUGCGCGGAAGAUGUAACGGGGCUAAACCAUGCACCGAAGCUGCGGCAGCGACGCUUAUGCGUUGUUGGGUAGGGGAGCGUUCUGUAAGCCUGCGAAGGUGGCCUGUGAGGGUUGCUGGAGGUAUCAGAAGUGCGAAUGCUGACAUAAGUAACGAUAAAGCGGGUGAAAAGCCCGCUCGCCGGAAGACCAAGGGUUCCUGUCCAACGUUAAUCGGGGCAGGGUGAGUCGACCCCUAAGGCGAGGCCGAAAGGCGUAGUCGAUGGGAAACGGGUUAAUAUUCCCGUACUUGGUGUUACUGCGAAGGGGGGACGGAGAAGGCUAUGUUGGCCGGGCGACGGUUGUCCCGGUUUAAGCGUGUAGGUGUGUGUUCCAGGUAAAUCCGGUUCACUUUAACACUGAGGCGUGACGACGAGGCACUACGGUGCUGAAGCAACAAAUGCCCUGCUUCCAGGAAAAGCCUCUAAGCAUCAGGUAACAUCAAAUCGUACCCCAAACCGACACAGGUGGUCAGGUAGAGAAUACCAAGGCGCUUGAGAGAACUCGGGUGAAGGAACUAGGCAAAAUGGUGCCGUAACUUCGGGAGAAGGCACGCUGACACGUAGGUGAAGUGAUUUACUCAUGGAGCUGAAGUCAGUCGAAGAUACCAGCUGGCUGCAACUGUUUAUUAAAAACACAGCACUGUGCAAACACGAAAGUGGACGUAUACGGUGUGACGCCUGCCCGGUGCCGGAAGGUUAAUUGAUGGGGUCAGCGCAAGCGAAGCUCCUGAUCGAAGCCCCGGUAAACGGCGGCCGUAACUAUAACGGUCCUAAGGUAGCGAAAUUCCUUGUCGGGUAAGUUCCGACCUGCACGAAUGGCGUAAUGAUGGCCAGGCUGUCUCCACCCGAGACUCAGUGAAAUUGAACUCGCUGUGAAGAUGCAGUGUACCCGCGGCAAGACGGAAAGACCCCGUGAACCUUUACUAUAGCUUGACACUGAACAUUGAGCCUUGAUGUGUAGGAUAGGUGGGAGGCUUUGAAGUGUGGACGCCAGUCUGCAUGGAGCCGACCUUGAAAUACCACCCUUUAAUGUUUGAUGUUCUAACGUGGACCCGUUACCCGGGUUGCGGACAGUGUCUGGUGGGUAGUUUGACUGGGGCGGUCUCCUCCUAAAGAGUAACGGAGGAGCACGAAGGUUGGCUAAUCCUGGUCGGACAUCAGGAGGUUAGUGCAAUGGCAUAAGCCAGCUUGACUGCGAGCGUGACGGCGCGAGCAGGUGCGAAAGCAGGUCAUAGUGAUCCGGUGGUUCUGAAUGGAAGGGCCAUCGCUCAACGGAUAAAAGGUACUCCGGGGAUAACAGGCUGAUACCGCCCAAGAGUUCAUAUCGACGGCGGUGUUUGGCACCUCGAUGUCGGCUCAUCACAUCCUGGGGCUGAAGUAGGUCCCAAGGGUAUGGCUGUUCGCCAUUUAAAGUGGUACGCGAGCUGGGUUUAGAACGUCGUGAGACAGUUCGGUCCCUAUCUGCCGUGGGCGCUGGAGAACUGAGGGGGGCUGCUCCUAGUACGAGAGGACCGGAGUGGACGCAUCACUGGUGUUCGGGUUGUCAUGCCAAUGGCACUGCCCGGUAGCUAAAUGCGGAAGAGAUAAGUGCUGAAAGCAUCUAAGCACGAAACUUGCCCCGAG
rnacentral:rRNA from 1 species